GGUCCCGUAGUACAAUGGAUAGUAUACAGGUUUCCGGAACCUGGGAUCUAAGUUCGAUUCUUAGCGGGACCA
rnacentral:tRNA from 1 species